GACGAACGCUGGCGGCGUGCUUAACACAUGCAAGUCGAACGAUGAAACCUAGCUUGCUAGGUCGAUUAGUGGCGAACGGGUGAGUAACACGUGACUAACCUGCCCCUUUCUCUGGGAUAACGCUCCGAAAGGAGUGCUAAUACCGGAUACUCACACCGAGGCACAUGCCUUGGUGUGGAAAGGUUUUCGGCAAGGGAUGGAGUCGCGGCCUAUCAGCUUGUUGGUGAGGUAACGGCUGCCCAAGGCGACGACGGGUAGCCGGCCUGAGAGGGCGACCGGCCACACUGGGACUGAGACACGGCCCAGACUCCUACGGGAGGCAGCAGUGGGGAAUAUUGGGCAAUGGAGGAAACUCUGACCCAGCGACGCCGCGUGAGGGAUGAAGGCCUUCGGGUUGUAAACCUCUUUCAGUAGGGAAGAAGCGAAAGUGACGGUACCUACAGAAGAAGCACUGGCUAACUAUGUGCCAGCCGCCGCGGUAA
rnacentral:rRNA from 1 species